rnacentral:rRNA from 1 species
CAGUCGCCGCGGUAACACGUAGGGUGCAAGCGUUAAUCGGAAUUACUGGGCGUAAAGCGUGCGCAGGCGGUUAUAUAAGACAGAUGUGAAAUCCCCGGGCUCAACCUGGGAACUGCAUUUGUGACUGUAUAGCUAGAGUACGGCAGAGGGGGAUGGAAUUCCGCGUGUAGCAGUGAAAUGCGUAGAUAUGCGGAGGAACACCGAUGGCGAAGGCAAUCCCCUGGGCCUGUACUGACGCUCAUGCACGAAAGCGUGGGGAGCAAACAGGAUUAGAUACCCCCGUAGUCCCUGUCUCUUAUAA